rnacentral:lncRNA from 1 species
GCAUGGCAAGUUGUAGGAGUUUGAUUCACUAAUCAAAAUCUCUAACUUGUGUUGUUGCCUACAUUAUUAUUGACCGGCCUCAGAUAGUUGUGACUUCUAUAUAAGUCCAAUUACGAUUGCUUAACAUAGCGCUAAGUUGCCUUAUGGCACACUAACUCUAACACUAACCAUUAACCAUUAACAUUUAAUUCUUGCUCUUUACAUUUAU